AACGAACGCUGGCGGCAAGCCUAACACAUGCAAGUCGAACGGACAAUUAUCUAUAGCUUCGGCUAUAAAUAAUUGUUAGUGGCAGACGGGUGAGUAAUGCAUAGGAAUCUACCUAGUAGUAUGGAAUAGCCAUUAGAAAUGAUGGGUAAUACUGUAUAAUCCCUGCGGGGGAAAGAUUUAUCGCUAUUAGAUGAGCCUAUGUUAGAUUAGCUAGUUGGUGAGGUAAUGGCUUACCAAGGCUAUGAUCUAUAGCUGGUCUGAGAGGACGAUCAGCCACACUGGAACUGAGAUACGGUCCAGACUCCUACGGGAGGCAGCAGUGGGGAAUAUUGGACAAUGGGCGAAAGCCUGAUCCAGCUAUGCCGCGUGAGUGAAGAA
rnacentral:rRNA from 1 species